CUCUGUGAAUAUCCAUGCCCAAA
rnacentral:siRNA from 1 species